rnacentral:rRNA from 1 species
GACGAACGCUGGCGGCGUGCUUAACACAUGCAAGUCGAACGAAGAGCGAUGGAAGCUUGCUUCUAUCAAUCUUAGUGGCGAACGGGUGAGUAACGCGUAAUCAACCUGCCCUUCAGAGGGGGACAACAGUUGGAAACGACUGCUAAUACCGCAUACGAUCUAAACUCGGCAUCGAGGAUAGAUGAAAGGUGGCCUCUACAUGUAAGCUAUCACUGAAGGAGGGGAUUGCGUCUGAUUAGCUAGUUGGAGGGGUAACGGCCCACCAAGGCGAUGAUCAGUAGCCGGUCUGAGAGGAUGAACGGCCACAUUGGGACUGAGACACGGCCCAGACUCCUACGGGAGGCAGCAGUGGGGAAUCUUCCGCAAUGGACGAAAGUCUGACGGAGCAACGCCGCGUGAGUGAUGACGGCCUUCGGGUUGUAAAGCUCGGUUAAUCGGGACGAAAGGCCUUCUUGCGAAUAGUGAGAAGGAUUGACGGUACCGGAAUAGAAAGCCACGGCUAACUACGUG